GUAGUCCACGCCCUAAACUAUGUCAACUAGUUGUCGGACCUUUUAGGUUUGGUAACGCAGCUAACGCGUGAAGUUGACCGCCUGGGGAGUACGGUCGCAAGAUUAAAACUCAAAGGAAUUGACGGGGACCCGCACAAGCGGUGGAUUAUGUGGAUUAAUUCGAUGCAACGCGAAAAACCUUACCUACCCUUGACAUGUUAGAAAGUUUUUAGAGAUAAAAUCGUGCCCGAAAGGGAAUCUAAACACAGGUGCUGCAUGGCUGUCGUCAGCUCGUGUCGUGAGAUGUUGGGUUAAGUCCCGCAACGAGCGCAACCCUUGUCAUUAAUUGCCAUCAUUUAGUUGGGCACUUUAAUGAGACUGCCGGUGAUAAACCGGA
rnacentral:rRNA from 1 species